AUUGAACGCUGGCGGCAGGCCUAACACAUGCAAGUCGAGCGAGCGGCGGACGGGUGAGUAAUGUAUGGGGACUGCCCGAUAGAGGGGGAUAACUACUGGAAACGGUGGCUAAUACCGCAUACUAUCGGAUAACCCAUAUGGGAUUAGCUAGUAGGUGGGGUAAAGGCUCACCUAGGCGACGAUCUCGAGCUGGUCUGAGAGGAGGAUCAGCCACACAGGAACAGGGAAACGGCCAAGACUCCUACGGGGGCAGCAGUGGGGAAUAUUGCACAAUGGGCACAAGCCGGGUGAAGCCAUGCCGCGUGUAUGAAGAAGGCCGUAGGGUUGUAAAGUACUGUCAGCGGGGAGGCGUUACCCGCAGAAGAAGCACCGGCUAACUCCGUGCCAGCAGCCGCGGUAAUUC
rnacentral:rRNA from 1 species